UAUGAGAGUUUGAUCCUGGCUCAGGACGAACGCUGGCGGCGUGCCUAAUACAUGCAAGUCGAACGCUUCUUUUUCCACCGGAGCUUGCUCCACCGGAAAAAGAGGAGUGGCGAACGGGUGAGUAACACGUGGGUAACCUGCCCAUCAGAAGGGGAUAACACUUGGAAACAGGUGCUAAUACCGUAUAACAAUCAAAACCGCAUGGUUUUGAUUUGAAAGGCGCUUUCGGGUGUCGCUGAUGGAUGGACCCGCGGUGCAUUAGCUAGUUGGUGAGGUAACGGCUCACCAAGGCCACGAUGCAUAGCCGACCUGAGAGGGUGAUCGGCCACAUUGGGACUGAGACACGGCCCAAACUCCUACGGGAGGCAGCAGUAGGGAAUCUUCGGCAAUGGACGAAAGUCUGACCGAGCAACGCCGCGUGAGUGAAGAAGGUUUUCGGAUCGUAAAACUCUGUUGUUAGAGAAGAACAAGGAUGAGAGUAACUGUUCAUCCCUUGACGGUAUCUAACCAGAAAGCCACGGCUAACUACGUGCCAGCAGCCGCGGUAAUACGUAGGUGGCAAGCGUUGUCCGGAUUUAUUGGGCGUAAAGCGAGCGCAGGCGGUAAAUUCAGGGAUGUCAUUAUAAAAAAACUAGCGAACAAUUAAAUAGAAUAACAUCCGUUAAUUGAGUGCAGAAGAGGAGAGUGGAAUUCCAUGUGUAGCGGUGAAAUGCGUAGAUAUAUGGAGGAACACCAGUGGCGAAGGCGGCUCUCUGGUCUGUAACUGACGCUGAGGCUCGAAAGCGUGGGGAGCAAACAGGAUUAGAUACCCUGGUAGUCCACGCCGUAAACGAUGAGUGCUAAGUGUUGGAGGGUUUCCGCCCUUCAGUGCUGCAGCUAACGCAUUAAGCACUCCGCCUGGGGAGUACGACCGCAAGGUUGAAACUCGAAAAAGUUAUUGACAAAUAACAAUAAAGAUGGUAUAUGUGGUUUAAUUCGAAGCAACGCGAAGAACCUUACCAGGUCUUGACAUCCUUUGACCACUCUAGAGAUAGAGCUUCCCCUUCGGGGGCAAAGUGACAGGUGGUGCAUGGUUGUCGUCAGCUCGUGUCGUGAGAUGUUGGGUUAAGUCCCGCAACGAGCGCAACCCUUAUUGUUAGUUGCCAUCAUUCAGUUGGGCACUCUAGCAAGACUGCCGGUGACAAACCGGAGGAAGGUGGGGAUGACGUCAAAUCAUCAUGCCCCUUAUGACCUGGGCUACACACGUGCUACAAUGGGAAGUACAACGAGUUGCGAAGUCGCGAGGCUAAGCUAAUCUCUUAAAGCUUCUCUCAGUUCGGAUUGCAGGCUGCAACUCGCCUGCAUGAAGCCGGAAUCGCUAGUAAUCGCGGAUCAGCACGCCGCGGUGAAUACGUUCCCGGGCCUUGUACACACCGCCCGUCACACCACGAGAGUUUGUAACACCCGAAGUCGGUGAGGUAACCUUUUUGGAGCCAGCCGCCUAAGGUGGGAUAGAUGAUUGGGGUGAAGUCGUAACAAGGUAGCCGUAUCGGAAGGUGCGGCUGGAUCACCUCCUU
rnacentral:rRNA from 1 species